CAAAUUUUCUUGUAGUUAUAUGGAUUUUUCACAGGAGAUCAGUAAAUUAUAACACAUGAAAUUGGUAAAUAAAACACAUGAGAUUCUUUAUAGCCCCAAUUAUGUACUACAUUUGGCUGCACUAACAGGUAAUGUUAGUGAACAUGAAUCAUGUUACAUGAUUUGGUGUUGAUGGGUUUAAUUACAAUUUUUUUGUGUUUGGACAAGAGGGAGAAACUAGUUUAGGAGAAUAUAAUUGGGAAUGAUGCAUUUAGUGCUUUAGCUUGGAAGAGAUAAACUGUAACUGGGUUUUAAGAUCAUACAUUGUUGAGCAGAAAUUAGUCAUUUUUCCUUAGAACAAAACAAGUAUAGAAAAUUGAAUAAGGUAAAUGUAAAGAGUUUACUUGUAUUCUUGUCAUAUUUUUGUAUAGAAGUAGCCAACGAUGACUUUGAUUUUAACCUAAUGGAUUGUUGUUUCAUACAUUUCCCGGUUACAUAAUCAGGCUUUGACAUCAUAGCUCUUUUAUUAGGAUACUCAUAUGGCAUUUUUACUCACACAUUGACAUUUAAAACAUUGCAUAUCUCUAUGUCUAGUGGGAAUAGGUAGAGCAUCUGUACUUUUGCCCUUGUCAUCCUUCUAUCCAUUGCCUUUGUAAACUUGUAGCUUAAGCUUGCUUCUCAUCUUCGGGCGUGUUUUAAGUUCUUUGCAAAUGUAUUUUGGCUUGUCCCAUGUUGAUGAAGUUUGUUUGCCUUUUUCUUGAUUUGUUCUACCAUUUGGCAUGCCAAAUGCAAUGCUUAAUCUUAAUUGUUCUCUAAAAUCAUUUCAUGAACUCUCUCUCUUGCACAAACACACACAACAUAUAUGUAUAACUUUAUUGAUUCACUGUAAUCAUUAAACUUCUUAUCGGUCUUGGCAGUUUAAUGGAACUCCUGAAAAACCAAGACUUUCAGUCUUCUGCUCAGAAAAACAGUUAUAUGCUACAUUGGUGGAUGACCAAAAUAAGAAGUCUUUAUUUUACGGGAGCACUUUGCAACAAUCAAUCCGGGGUGAUCCACCAUGCAGCACUGUAGUGAGAAGCAGCGGAACGUGUUGUUGAGAAACUUGUGCAGACUUGUGUUGAUCUCAACAUCAAUGAGAUUUCAUCUUAUGAUUGCAAUGGUUUUGCUCGAGGAGAAAGAAUGCAAGCGUUUGAGAUUGCCAUUUCUCGCCAUGGUUUCCUGCCCAGAUAGUUUCUUCCUUUCUUUUCUAUGUGAAUUAUUUAUAGCCUUCAGAAGUCUGAAGCUUUCUUAUAGGGGCUAGGGAUGGCAAUAGGACAGGGCAGGGCGGGGCAGGUGAAGCAUUGCCCUGCCCCAAAUUCAACACGCCCUACCCUGUUUAACAAUGUUUCUCUUUUUCAACCUGCCCCGCCCCGCCCUGCCCUGUCCCGUUUAGCUUUUUUGUUUCUUCCUUUCUUUUAAGUUUGGAAUUGUAACUAUUCAUCUUAUUAUAAAAAGAAGGCGUAAUGGCUUCCUGGCCACUUAAACUUGUACCGGAUUUUAAAGCCGAUAUAUAAACUUACAUUAUUCUCAUUUGAACACUCGAA